rnacentral:rRNA from 1 species
CACUGCCGAGAAAAGCCUCUAGAUAGAAAAUAGGUGCCCGUACCGCAAACCGACACAGGUAGUCAAGAUGAGAAUUCUAAGGUGAGCGAGCGAACUCUCGUUAAGGAACUCGGCAAAAUGACCCCGUAACUUCGGGAGAAGGGGUGCUCUUUAGGGUUAACGCCCAGAAGAGCCGCAGUGAAUAGGCCCAAGCGACUGUUUAUCAAAAACACAGGUCUCUGCUAAACCGUAAGGUGAUGUAUAGGGGCUGACGCCUGCCCGGUGCUGGAAGGUUAAGAGGAGUGGUUAGCUUCUGCGAAGCUACGAAUCGAAGCCCCAGUAAACGGCGGCCGUAACUAUAACGGUCCUAAGGUAGCGAAAUUCCUUGUCGGGUAAGUUCCGACCCGCACGAAAGGCGUAACGAUUUGGGCACUGUCUCAACGAGAGACUCGGUGAAAUCAUAGUACCUGUGAAGAUGCAGGUUACCCGCGACAGGACGGAAAGACCCCGUGGAGCUUUACUGUAGCCUGAUAUUGAAAUUCGGCACAGCUUGUACAGGAUAGGUAGGAGCCUUUGAAACGUGAGCGCUAGCUUACGUGGAGGCGCUGGUGGGAUACUACCCUAGCUGUGUUGGCUUUCUAACCCGCACCACUUAUCGUGGUGGGAGACAGUGUCAGGCGGGCAGUUUGACUGGGGCGGUCGCCUCCUAAAAGGUAACGGAGGCGCUCAAAGGUUCCCUCAGAAUGGUUGGAAAUCAUUCAUAGAGUGUAAAGGCAUAAGGGAGCUUGACUGCGAGACCUACAAGUCGAGCAGGGUCGAAAGACGGACUUAGUGAUCCGGUGGUUCCGCAUGGAAGGGCCAUCGCUCAACGGAUAAAAGCUACCCCGGGGAUAACAGGCUUAUCUCCCCCAAGAGUUCACAUCGACGGGGAGGUUUGGCACCUCGAUGUCGGCUCAUCGCAUCCUGGGGCUGUAGUCGGUCCCAAGGGUUGGGCUGUUCGCCCAUUAAAGCGGUACGCGAGCUGGGUUCAGAACGUCGUGAGACAGUUCGGUCCCUAUCCGUCGUGGGCGUAGGAAAUUUGAGAGGAGCUGUCCUUAGUACGAGAGGACCGGGAUGGACAUACCUCUGGUGUACCAGUUGUCGUGCCAACGGCAUAGCUGGGUAGCUAUGUGUGGACGGGAUAAGUGCUGAAAGCAUCUAAGCAUGAAGCCCCCCUCAAGAUGAGAUUUCCCAACUUCGGUUAUAAGAUCCCUCAAAGAU